rnacentral:lncRNA from 1 species
AUUUAGGAUUUGUUAGAAUUAGGGUAUGGUUUAGGAUUUGGUUUAGGAUUUAGGAUUUAAGAUUUUAUUUAGGAUUUGAUUUAGGAUUUAGGAUUUGGAUUAGAGUUUGGAUUAGGAUUUGGAUUAGGAUUUAAGGUUUGUCUUAGGAUUUGAUUAGGGAUUGAUUUAAGGUUUAAAAUUCGAUUAAGGUUUUAUUAGGAUUUGAUUUAGGAUUUAGAGUUUGUCUAGGAUUUGAUUAAGGUUGAAUUAAGAUUAGGAUUUGGUUAGAAUUUAAGAUACUAUUAGAUUUUUGUUAGGGUUUGACUAAGUUUUCUUUAAUAUUCUUUUAUAUUUCUUUAGGAUUUCCUUGUGUUUCUUUUAUAACUUCAAUAAAAUUUAAUUGAGCUUAUUUAAUGUUUGAUUAUGAUUUUUAAUGUUUAAUUAUAAAUUUUCUAUAAUCCUAUUGGAUUGUUAAGACCUUUUGUUGCAAUUUUCUUUUACCUUCCACAGCCAAAUGCUCGGUGCAUUCUCAAGUAAGACUUCACCUAAUACAACAACGUU